AGAUGGAAUAUCGCUCUGUAGCCCAGGCAAGAGUGCAAUGGUGUGAUCUUGGUUCACUGCAAUCUACGCCUCCCAGGUUCAAGUGAUUCUCCUGCCUCAGCCUCCCAAGUAGCUGGGAUCACAGGUGGAUUACACACCUGGCUAUCAGAUGUGCCCUGAUUCCCCUUCACCUUCAAUUGUAUGUUUCCUGAGGAUUACACAGCCAUGCAGAACUGUUUUGAGACAAGCAGCAUAGGCUUCUGUUCUGCCGUCUUGCUCCACCCUGCCAAGAUAUUAUUUCAGAAGAGUCAAAGACUAAAAGGCGGGCCACGCGCGGUGGCUCAAGCCUAUAAUCCCAGCACUUUGGGAGGCCGAGGCGGGUGGAUCACGAGGUCAAGAGAUCGAGACCAUCCUGGUCAACAUGGUGAGACACCAUCUCUACUAAAAAUACAAAAAAUUAGCUGGGCACUUUACGAAAGAAGACAUAUAUGA
rnacentral:lncRNA from 1 species